UGGGGAAUAUUGGACAAUGGGCGAAAGCCUGAUCCAGCCAUGCCGCGUGUGUGAAGAAGGUCUUCGGAUUGUAAAGCACUUUAAGUUGGGAGGAAGGGCAGUAAGCGAAUACCUUGCUGUUUUGACGUUACCGACAGAAUAAGCACCGGCUAACUCUGUGCCAGCAGCCGCGGUAAUACAGAGGGUGCAAGCGUUAAUCGGAAUUACUGGGCGUAAAGCGCGCGUAGGUGGUUCGUUAAGUUGAAUGUGAAAGCCCCGGGCUCAACCUGGAACGGACUCCAAAACCGGGGGGGUUGAGGAGGGGAGGGGGUGGGGGGAAUUUCCGUGUUGCGGGGAAAAGCGGAGGGAUAGGGAGGAACACCAGUGGCGAAGGCGACCACCUGGGCUCAUACUGACACUGAGGUGCGAAAGCGUGGGGAGCAAACAGG
rnacentral:rRNA from 1 species